rnacentral:rRNA from 1 species
GGGUUGUGAGGUUAAGCGACUAAGCGUACACGGUGGAUGCCCUGGCAGUCAGAGGCGAUGAAGGACGUGCUAAUCUGCGAAAAGCGUCGGUAAGGUGAUAUGAACCGUUACAGCCGGCGAUGUCCGAAUGGGGAAACCCAGUGUGAUUCGUCACACUAUCGUUAACUGAAUACAUAGGUUAACGAGGCGAACCGGGGGAACUGAAACAUCUAAGUACCCCGAGGAAAAGAAAUCAACCGAGAUUCCCCCAGUAGCGGCGAGCGAACGGGGAGCAGCCCAGAGUCUGAAUCAGCUUGUGUGUUAGUGGAACGGUCUGGAAAGUCCGACGGUACAGGGUGAUAGUCCCGUACACCAAAAUGCACAGGCUGUGAACUCGAAGAGUAGGGCGGGACACGUGGUAUCCUGUCUGAAUAUGGGGGGACCAUCCUCCAAGGCUAAAUACUCCUGACUGACCGAUAGUGAACCAGUACCGUGAGGGAAAGGCGAAAAGAACCCCGGCGAGGGGAGUGAAAAAGAACCUGAAACCGUGUACGUACAAGCAGUGGGAGCACCUUCGGGUGUGACUGCGUACCUUUUGUAUAAUGGGUCAGCGACUUAUAUUCUGUAGCAAGGUUAACCGUAUAGGGGAGCCGCAGGGAAACCGAGUCUUAACUGGGCGUUAAGUUGCAGGGUAUAGACCCGAAACCCGGUGAUCUAGCCAUGGGCAGGUUGAAGGUUGGGUAACACUAACUGGAGGACCGAACCGACUAAUGUUGAAAAAUUAGCGGAUGACUUGUGGCUGGGGGUGAAAGGCCAAUCAAACCGGGAGAUAGCUGGUUCUCCCCGAAAGCUAUUUAGGUAGCGCCUCGUGAACUCAUCUUCGGGGGUAGAGCACUGUUUCGGCUAGGGGGUCAUCCCGACUUACCAACCCGAUGCAAACUACGAAUACCGAAGAAUGUUAUCACGGGAGACACACGGCGGGUGCUAACGUCCGUCGUGAAGAGGGAAACAACCCAGACCGCCAGCUAAGGUCCCAAAGUCAUGGUUAAGUGGGAAACGAUGUGGGAAGGCACAGACAGCCAGGAUGUUGGCUUAGAAGCAGCCAUCAUUUAAAGAAAGCGUAAUAGCUCACUGGUCGAGUCGGCCUGCGCGGAAGAUGUAACGGGGCUAAACCAUGCACCGAAGCUGCGGCAGCGACACUAUGUGUUGUUGGGUAGGGGAGCGUUCUGUAAGCCUGCGAAGGUGACCUGUGAGGGUUGCUGGAGGUAUCAGAAGUGCGAAUGCUGACAUAAGUAACGAUAAAGCGGGUGAAAAGCCCGCUCGCCGGAAGACCAAGGGUUCCUGUCCAACGUUAAUCGGGGCAGGGUGAGUCGACCCCUAAGGCGAGGCCGAAAGGCGUAGUCGAUGGGAAACAGGUUAAUAUUCCUGUACUUGGUGUUACUGCGAAGGGGGGACGGAGAAGGCUAUGUUAGCCGGGCGACGGUUGUCCCGGUUUAAGCAUGUAGGCUGGUUGUCCAGGCAAAUCCGGAUAAUCAAGGCUGAGGUGUGAUGACGAGGUACUACGGUGCUGAAGUAACAAAUGCCCUGCUUCCAGGAAAAGCCUCUAAGCAUCAGGUAACAUCAAAUCGUACCCCAAACCGACACAGGUGGUCAGGUAGAGAAUACCAAGGCGCUUGAGAGAACUCGGGUGAAGGAACUAGGCAAAAUGGUGCCGUAACUUCGGGAGAAGGCACGCUGGUGUGUAGGUGAAGUCCCUGCGGAUGGAGCUGAGACCAGUCGAAGAUACCAGCUGGCUGCAACUGUUUAUUAAAAACACAGCACUGUGCAAACACGAAAGUGGACGUAUACGGUGUGACGCCUGCCCGGUGCCGGAAGGUUAAUUGAUGGGGUUAUCCGUAAGGAGAAGCUCUUGAUCGAAGCCCCGGUAAACGGCGGCCGUAACUAUAACGGUCCUAAGGUAGCGAAAUUCCUUGUCGGGUAAGUUCCGACCUGCACGAAUGGCGUAAUGAUGGCCAGGCUGUCUCCACCCGAGACUCAGUGAAAUUGAACUCGCUGUGAAGAUGCAGUGUACCCGCGGCAAGACGGAAAGACCCCGUGAACCUUUACUAUAGCUUGACACUGAACAUUGAGCCUUGAUGUGUAGGAUAGGUGGGAGGCUUUGAAGCGUGGACGCCAGUCUGCGUGGAGCCAACCUUGAAAUACCACCCUUUAAUGUUUGAUGUUCUAACGUUGGCCCCUUACCGGGGUUGCGGACAGUGUCUGGUGGGUAGUUUGACUGGGGCGGUCUCCUCCCAAAGCGUAACGGAGGAGCACGAAGGUUAGCUAAUCCUGGUCGGACAUCAGGAGGUUAGUGCAAUGGCAUAAGCUAGCUUGACUGCGAGCGUGACGGCGCGAGCAGGUGCGAAAGCAGGUCAUAGUGAUCCGGUGGUUCUGAAUGGAAGGGCCAUCGCUCAACGGAUAAAAGGUACUCCGGGGAUAACAGGCUGAUACCGCCCAAGAGUUCAUAUCGACGGCGGUGUUUGGCACCUCGAUGUCGGCUCAUCACAUCCUGGGGCUGAAGUAGGUCCCAAGGGUAUGGCUGUUCGCCAUUUAAAGUGGUACGCGAGCUGGGUUUAGAACGUCGUGAGACAGUUCGGUCCCUAUCUGCCGUGGGCGCUGGAGAAUUGAGGGGGGCUGCUCCUAGUACGAGAGGACCGGAGUGGACGCAUCACUGGUGUUCGGGUUGUCAUGCCAAUGGCACUGCCCGGUAGCUAAAUGCGGAAGAGAUAAGUGCUGAAAGCAUCUAAGCACGAAACUUGCCCCGAGAUGAGUUCUCCCUGAGACUUUAAGUCUCCUGAAGGAACGUUAAAGACGAUGACGUUGAUAGGCCGGGUGUGUAAGCGCAGCGAUGCGUUGAGCUAACCGGUACUAAUGAACCGUGAGGCUUAACCUUACAACGCCGAAG